AACCUGCGGCGAGUGGCGAACGGGUGAGUAAUAUAUCGGAACAUACCCUAGAGUGGGGGAUAACGUAGCGAAAGUUACGCUAAUACCGCAUACGCACUAAGGUGGAAAGUGGGGGAUCUUCGGACCUCAUGCUCAUGGAGUGGCCGAUAUCUGAUUAGCUAGUUGGUGAGGUAACGGCUCACCAAGGCUGUGAUGGCUAGCUGGUCUGAGAGGAUGACCAGCCACACUGGGACUGAGACACGGCCCAGACUCCUACGGGAGGCAGCAGUGGGGAAUAUUGCGCAAUGGGCGAAAGCCUGACGCAGCGACGCCGCGUGGGUGAUGAAGGCCUUCGGGUCGUAAAGCCCUGUCGCAGGGGAAGAAUAAGCAUCGGUAUAAUACGCCGGUGCCCUGACGGUACCCUGCAAGAAAGCACCGGCUAACUCCGUG
rnacentral:rRNA from 1 species